AAACUGUCCUCAGUUGCAUAAAUCCAAGAAUACACUUGACAGAAGAAUGGAAAAAAGGAAGCCUAGGAAGUCUAGAAACAAAAAUCAUAGUGAUGAGCAGUGCUGGAAGGCUGGUCAGCAGCCAGAGUACAGCUUCUCAUCUAUGUCAUCGUCAUCCAGCAGCCCAUACUUAAAUUUCCGGUAGACUGUGCCAUCCUGGCCCAUGUAGACGAUGUCAUCAUCAUCAUCCUCAUCAUAGUCCCGAUCCCUGUACUCAAUCACCUGAUCCUCUUCAAAGCUGGUGCUUUCUCGAUAGCUGCUCUUAUAGGAGGAGUAAGACUUGUUGGGGUCGGCCAGCUUUUCAUAGCCAGCCUUUGCUGCUGGUUGGACUUGGCCGUGAGAUUUCUUCCACACUACCACAGCUCCCCCGAGCAGAAGCGCCAGCAUCACGGAGGAGGUAAUGAACAGAGCUGUCUUGAAAUGCUCAGCUGCAGGCCUAACCUUGCUUGUUCGAAGGAUGCAUUCGUCUAUUGGAAGAAGACCCCAAAGGAAGAGGCAAGAGGGAAAAAGUGGAAGAAAUAGAAUAGAGAAAAUUAGUUUCUGAGAUGGGGUCUUGCUAUGUUGCCCAGGCUGAUCUCAAAUUCCUGGACUCAAGGGAUCCUCUUGCCUCAGCCUCCAAGUAGGUGGGAUUAUAGAUGCAUGCAAUUGCGACUUGCUGAGGUGCGCUUUCUACCACAUAUCUGCCUUAGCACAUGAGCCACCAAAUAGAAGAGGUCUGAAUCUGCAGCCUCUGUUUCCUGUGGAGGCAAUACUCUUAUCUCCUAAUUCAGACACCCUAAAAAGGACUGAUUCAAACAUUUCUUCUAUGCAGGUAUCAAGGGAUAACUUCUGGAAAGUUUGGGGACAGGAGACCUAAAUCUAGCUCAUUCUGUUGGGAAGUCCUGGACAUUUUUGCUCAUAAUUUUUAA